CCUACGGGAGGCAGCAGUGGGGGAUAUUGCACAAUGGGGGAAACCCUGAUGCAGCGACGCCGCGUGAGUGAAGAAGUAUUUCGGUAUGUAAAGCUCUAUCAGCAGGGAAGAAAAUGACAGUACCUGACCAAGAAGCCCCGGCUAACUACGUGCCAGCAGCCGCGGUAAUACGUAGGAGGCAAGCGUUAUCCGGAUUUACUGGGUGUAAAGGGAGCGUAGACGGUUAUGUAAGUCUGGAGUGAAAGCCCGGGGCCCAACCCCGGGACUGCUUUGGAAACUGGGUAACUGGAGUGCAGGAGGGGUAAGCGGAAUUCCUAGUGUAGCGGGGAAAUGCGUAGAUAUUAGGAGGAACACCGGUGGCGAAGGCGGCUUACUGGACUGUAACUGACGUUGAGGCUCGAAAGCGUGGGGAGCAAACAGGAUUAGAUACCCCAGUAGUC
rnacentral:rRNA from 1 species